rnacentral:rRNA from 1 species
UAGUUCUUUCAGAUCGUGUAAUGAGUUGGAAAAGUCUGUCAAUGUGGGUAAAACCCCCGUAGACGAAAUGUGGAAGACACCUAGGAGGAUCCUGAGUACGGCGGAACACUAGAAAUUCCGUCGGAAUCCGGGAGGACCAUCUCCCAAGGCUAAAUACUCCCUAGUGACCGAUAGUGAACCAGAACCGUGAGGGAAAGGUGAAAAGCACCCCGGAAGGGGAGUGAAAUAGAACCUGAAAC